UUAAAUUGAAGAGUUUGAUCAUGGCUCAGAUUGAACGCUGGCGGCAGGCUUAACACAUGCAAGUCGAACGGUAGCAGGAAGAAGCUUGCUUCUUUGCUGACGAGUGGCGGACGGGUGAGUAAUGCUUGGGAAUCUGGCUUAUGGAGGGGGAUAACUACGGGAAACUGUAGCUAAUACCGCGUAGUAUCGGGAGAUGAAAGACUGGGACCGCAAGGCCAGUUGCCAUAAGAUGAGCCCAAGUGGGAUUAGGUAGUUGGUGGGGUAAAGGCCUACCAAGCCGACGAUCUCUAGCUGGUCUGAGAGGAUGACCAGCCACACUGGAACUGAGACACGGUCCAGACUCCUACGGGAGGCAGCAGUGGGGAAUAUUGCACAAUGGGGGGAACCCUGAUGCAGCCAUGCCGCGUGAAUGAAGAAGGCCUUCGGGUUGUAAAGUUCUUUCGGUGAUGAGGAAGGGUG
rnacentral:rRNA from 1 species